rnacentral:misc_RNA from 1 species
GAUGAAGAACAUAGCGAAAUGCGAUAAGUAAUGUGAAUUGCAGAAUUCAGUGAAUCAUCGAAUCUUUGAACGCACAUUGCGCCCCUUGGUAUUCCGAGGGGCAUGCCUGUUCGAGCGUCAUAUUAACCACUCCCGCUUGCGGGGUCUUGGGCUUCGCCUCCGGGCGGGCCUUAAAAUCAGUGGCGGUGCCGUCGGGCUCUACGCGUAGUAAAUUUUCUCGCGAUAGGGUCCCGGUGGAUGCUUGCCAACAACCCCCAACUUCUUAAGGUUGACCUCGGAUCAGGUAGGGAUACCCGCUGAACUUAAGCAUAUCAAUAAGCGGAGGA